rnacentral:lncRNA from 1 species
CUCUAUCACCUUUACCCUAAUCUCCUUUUCCUUCAUAAGUGUGAUCUUAAUAUCACUCUCCUCUUCAUCCAAACCAAUGAUAGGAAUGACUCCCAGCUACCUGUGGAAAGACAAUCAUAACUAGUUAAAUGGAUAGUUUCAUAACCCUAACUAGUUACACUGAUAAAGGCAGUUAAGAAAACCCUAUGUAGCUAUUUAUGUAACUACAUUAAGCUACCUAUCUAACUGUCUAUGUAAAUACAUAUUGAUAGUUACCUUGGUAGUUACAUAAAUGCUACAUAACCAGUUACAUGUAUUUACACAGAAUGCAGGAAAAGACACAACAUCAUACAUGUGUAGAGAUGAAUGCAACUACAUAUGUAUCUACAAAUGUAACUACCCAUGUAACUAUAGAUUGACAGUUACAUGAGUAGUUAUGACACGACCCACCCCGAAUUUCAUCCUGAAACCCAGAGUAAGUCGUGCGGGGACCACCUCCAAGGAAAAUUUACUGAAAAGAUUAAGAAAAUCUCCCUUGCAGAUGGACAACCCUAACUCGAAAAUUUCAUAUUACACUCUUAAUUUAUCACUUCUGAACAUCACAUAAUAUACAAAAAAUUCUAAAGUAUUCAGAGCUACUAAACACAAGCGGAAGCAAGAAAACACGAGUAGGUUGAACAGGUAACCUACUGGCGAAAACUGGCAAAAAUGCGGGUGACUAUGCCUCGUCUCCUACUAGAUCCAACCCGAACUCUGCAGACUGGGCAAUUUAAAACGAAGGGCCCAGGGGAAAACAUUUAAUAACGUUAGAGUGAGUGGACAAAAAUAAAAUAAUAAAUAAAAUAUUUAUGCUUCCCCAAAUUAAUUUCUAAGGAAAAAAUCGAAUGCAUGCCGCAAGCGAUAAAA